CAGAGAGUAGGUGCACUGCAGAGCUGGACGUGACCCUGGGGUUAACCUGUCCUGAGUCAGAGUCAGUGCACUGCAGAGUUGGACGUGGCCCUGGGGUUAACUUGUCCUGAGUCAGAGAGUAGGUGCACAGCAGGGCUGGACGUGGCCCUGGGGUUAACCUGUCCUGAGUCAGAGAGUAGGUGCACUGCAGAGCUGGACGUGGCCCUGGGGUUAACUUGUCCUGAGUCAGAGUCAGUGCACUGCAGAGCUGGAUGCGACCCUCGGGUUAACUUGUCCUGAAUCAGAGAAUUGGUGCAGAUCUGGACAGGGCCUUAGGGUUAACUUGCCCUGAGUCAGAGUUGGUGCACAGCACAGCUAGAUGUGGCCCUG